rnacentral:siRNA from 1 species
GCUAGUUGUCUGUUGCGUAGUCA